rnacentral:rRNA from 1 species
UACAGAGGGUGCUAGCGUUGUUCGGAAUCAUUGGGCGUAAAGGGCGUGUAGGCGGUUUGUUAAGUCAUGUGUGAAAUCCCUCGGCUCAACCGAGGAACUGCAUCCGAUACUGGCGGGCUGGAAUCCGGGAGAGGGAUGUGGAAUUCCAGGUGUAGCGGUGAAAUGCGUAGAUAUCUGGAGGAACACCGGUGGCGAAGGCGGCAUCCUGGACCGGUAUUGACGCUGAGGCGCGAAAGCUAGGGGAGCAAACGGGG